GCAUAAGGAGGUUCCCAGGUUAGGGGUCAAAUCGGAGCUGCAGCUGCUGGCCUAUACCACAGCCAAAGAACACAGGAUCCGAGCUGCAUCUGUGACCUACACCACAGUUCACGGCAACGCCAGAUCCUUAACCCACUGAGCAAGGCCAGGGAUCAAACCCGAGUCCUCAUGGAUACUAGUCAGGUUUGGUACCACUGAGCCACAAGGAGAACUCCCUCACUCCCGUACUUAAUUGCUGUGUGACUUUGGGCAAAUGCAUUUCCUUCUCUGAGCUGAUUUCCUUCUCUGUAAAAUGGGGGAAAUAAUUGCUCCUUAACUGCUUAUUCUUGGUAAGAAUUCAGUAACAUAAGGUGUCUCUCACGGAAAGCUCCUCCUGGGCCCCGGCAGGCAGGCCUUCUGAUGCCUCGUAGGUGGUCAGACACUUCACAGGCUCGCUCCCCAUCUCUCUCUGUGAUGGCAAAUACCCCCAAGCUCAGAAGCACAUAUCUUCUGCCCAGGCUUGGGGACAGGCUUGAAAAUCCUCCCACGUUGGCCACAAGCACAGGGCUUCUCUCUGGAAUGGUUUCUCUGACCCAGGGGGAGAUGACAGAGAGUGAUGGAAUUCUCCAGAAAGAAAGCUGGGAGGGAUGCCCGGAUGGAGGGAGCAGAAUCCCUCCUCACUCGGUCCCCCCACCCCACAAGAGCCUCCUGGCUGCAGGGUCCUGCCGGGCAGAGGGCUUCUGGGGAGCAGCCUUCACCCCUCCCAGGCAUGUCUGCUGAAGGCAGUGCAGACCCGGGUGGGAGGCAGCAGUGGAGCUGAAAGCUGCUGACAGCGGCCUCUGAGGGGGCUAAGAAAAGCUCUGGGGGAGAAAAACCGCCAAAGAUGCACAGUUGCCCUCCCCGCCCAGCGAGAGGCCCUUCCUUCCCGGAGCCAGCUGCCCCCGGGAGAUUAGUGUUCGGCUCCGGAAAAGCAGGCCCCACACACCAACCCACGGGAGGCUGCCAGCUGAGUCAGCCUCUCUACCUGUCAGGAAAUCAUUCAUAAAAUAUGACACCUUUCCAGCGCCCAGCGCCCGGCCUCGCCCCAGCCACUGUCCCCAGCCGGCUGGCAACCGCAGCGCUGCCAAGCCCUCCCCUGGGGCCUCUCUGGCUGCUCUGCACUUGGCUCCUGGGAUAAAGACGAAGGAGACCACUGUGAAAUAAGGCCAGCUCAGCUUCAGUAAAUCAGUAUUUACAGGUCACCUGCCCCGGGGACAACAGCCGAGUCAAAAAGAGUGACAAUGACUCCACUCAAUGACCAACGAACAUCGCUGACACAGCUUCCAAAGGGUUUUCAAUGUCACCGCCACGCCAGUGGUGGGCACUUCUUUAUCUUCAGUUUAUGUGUGGGCAGCUGGAGGCUCCCAGGACACCUCACUAGAUACAGCUGGACACAGGUCAUGUGACCCAUCCUCCCACAAAGGAACACUGGGGACCACAGCGGGGAGGUGACUUGCCCAGGUCACAUGUGAGUUCAAACUUGAAGCCUAUGUCCUUCUCACUUCCCAUCACUUAAACCCUGAUGCACUCUUACCGGGAGAUAAAAGGCGGCUGAGGAACUGGAUUCUUUACCCUCCACCCUCAUCCCACUUCCUCCUGCUCUCCUUCUGGGGCAACCACUCCGGCCGCCUUGUUUCUCAAACACACCAAGUGUGCCUCAGGGCCUUUGCACAUGCCACUCCUGCUGCCUUCUAGUCACUACACACCAGGCUCCCUGUCCUCCUGCAGGACGAGGUUCUUUGUCACCUCUGAGGGACCUUCCCUGACCACCAUGAGAACAACCCCCAAAUCAUUCUCGAUCCUUGCAUGAAAACUGUUCCCAUCCCAACCCUGUACCGCAGGUUAAUCAUGUACUUCUGCCCCCAGCAACUAUCUGUCUCCCUCGGGAGUAAGCCUGUGAGGUUGGUUUCAUCAGCCUGAUGUCCUCAAGGCCUAGCACAAUGCUCGGUACAAAGCAGACCCACAGUAAAUAUCCGUAACGUGAAUACCUCAUUGGGUUCAUGAUUCCUCAUUGUGUGCAGUCAGAACCCCUCAGGCUGGCACUCAAGUCCCUUUGUCCUCUGACCACACCACUAAGUUGAGCAAUUAAAUGAUCAGAACACGCUUUCCCUGUUCAUCAUUCCUAACUGGUGCUCAUGACAGAGAAGCUCAGAAGAGCACUGGAGGGUUAGGAUGGAGCCGAGAGCUGGGAGCCCGUGUGCAGGGCCCCAAGUCCCCACCCAGCCAGGUGGGCACCCUGACAGCAGGGAGCUACGGGUGCUGUGUGACAGCCUUCUGUAAGACACCAUGAAACUGCUCUUAUUUCUAUUCCCUGUGCCCCCAAGAGUGGCAGUCAUCAAACCCUCAUUGCUUCAUGAGAAGGAUUUCAAGCCUCAGCUGGGUCACCUUUCUGACCAGUCUCUAAUCUGCAAUGACCCACCAGGACUCAGACCUACUUUAGAAGCCAAGGCAGGAGUUCCUGCCCUGGCUCAGUGGUUAACGAACCCAUGAGGAUGUGGGUUUGAUCCCUGGCCUCGGUCAGUGGGUUAAGGAUCUGGCGUUGCUGUGAGCUGUGGGGUAGGUCACAGACAAGGCUCGGAUCCCAUGUUGCUGCGGCUGUGGUGUAGGCUGGUGGCUACAGCUCUAAUUCAACCCCUAGCCUGGGAACUUCCAUAUGCCGUGGAUGUAGCCCUAAAGAGAGGAAAAAAAAAAAAAAAAAGAAGAAGAUGAACCCAAGGCAAGUAUACCCAAGCAAUAGGCUCCAGGAUUCUCAACAUUAUACGAACGCUAGAGUCACCGGGGACCUGUGGAAAUCACAGAAGCCCUGACCCUGCCCACUCCGCCCCACGCUGAUUUUGCAGGCCUGGGCUGGGGCAAGGCGAGAGCCCAGGGAAAUUCUGACACACAGUGAGGGCUGUCGGCGAUUCCAGGCCUGGCCUUCGCUGCAGCUACUGGAGCAGCUUUGGAGGGCCCUGGCCUCAGGGCCCUCUGCUGCAGAGCUUCUGGAUCACAGGCUGGGGUUUUUCAAACAAUCCCCAGGUGCUUCUACAGUUCGGCUGGGGUUAAGAACCACUGCCCAGAUGCGGAUCUCCAGUGAACACUGAGCACUGGGCUGUGGGCUGAGCUGGACACAUCCCCUGCCCCUAAAGCCUUCCCUCCUGCUCGGGUUGGGAGACAGUGAGGAGCCAGGUCACGAGGCAGGACAGAUGCCCCUGUCACCCUCUGGCCUAAGCCCGUCCAUGACUCCCUUUAAGGACCACUUCCUAAGGCUCACCUGCUAGAAUCUGGUUCCUGACUUAUCUUUCUGGCUGCCUCUCCUGCUGGUCCCCAACACCCACCAGGAGCCUCCUCCAUCUUAAACUACCUCUAGUUUUGCUACAAGUACCAUGAGACUUUCAACUGCUUCCCUGCAAAGGGAGUGCUAUUGCCCAUGGCAGUGCCCUCAACCCCACAUGGCUUGUGUGUCUCACUCCUGCUGGGGCCUCACCUCAUUGGGUUCUCUGGGUGUGUCGUGCACACCUCCUCCAGUGGGUAUCUGUCAUGCUGCCCUGGAGUCGCUGUCUACCUCCCUAGGAGCCGUCUGUGUGUCCCCAGCAUUUAACAGCGGCACGUCAGGGUCUGGGAGGGCAGAGGGUAAGCAAGGGCAAAUUGCGUUUUGUUUUUUUGUUUCUUUUUAUGGCUGCACCUGCGGCAUAUGGAAGUUCCUAGGCCAGGGGUUAAAUCACAGCUGCAGCUGCCGAGCUACACCACAGCCACAGCCACAGCCACGCAGGAUCCGAGCCGUGCCUGAGACCUACACUAAAGCUUGCAGAAACGUUGGAUCCUUAACCCAAUGAGCAAGGCCGUAGAUCGAACCCACAUCCUCGCAGAGACAACAUUAGAUCCUUAACCCACUGAGCCACAAUGGGAACUCUGGCAGCUUGUGUUUUGAGGUUACUUUGGCCACGUCCUAAAGGGCAGGGCAGUCAGAGAGGAGACUGCUCAAUACCAACCCAAGGAUUAGAAGGUUGCCGCAUGAAUGGAAAUCAUAGGCUAGAAAUUACCAAGAGAUACCCUAUCGCUUGGUUAAAAUCCAGACUCUACCACACACCAGCUGUGGGCCUUUGGGCAAGCUAUUUAACUCUCUGGGCCUCAGUUUCCUCAUCUGUACAAUGGAGCUAAUUUUAGUGCUAACUCAGGGCUGCUAAAAGCAGUAAAACAAGCCAAUGAAAAUAAAUCCCUUGACAUAGCAGUGCCCGGCCUUAAGGAAUCAGUAAAUGUUGGCAAUUAUCACUGUUAUUCUUACUCAUGGAACUCCCGUGCGGAAAAGGCCUUUGGAGAUUAACUCCUUCAUGUUACAGGCCGGGCACUAAGACAGACAGGAGGACAGUCACACCGGCUCUUCUGUCCAGGCUCUAGAGGAGGCCCAGGCCCACAGGGUCUCCUCCUGGGCCACUGAGGAAGAGGGGCUGCUGGGAACCAGCCAAUGCGCGGGCAGGAUUCCAGCAGGACUUUCUAAUGACUUGGAGUCUGACAGUCCCAACAUCUCGGCUCUGUUUCAGGCAAAAUCACUGAGCAUAUUUUAGGAUCAGCAAAAACCCACGAUGCCUUUGGCUUGAGCACUUUCCCUCUUCUUGUUGAAGCCCAGGGGUAUUUUCUAGGAAAUUGAGUCCAUCUGUUUCUGAUUCAUUUGUACUUAACUCAUCACCAAGCUGUUUUGUAAGAGCCCUUUGAUGUGAAAGCAGCCUUAUUCCAUAAGCCUCUCUAAGCCUUUAUUUAGUCAACAGUAGGUAAACGGGGCUCUCCAAAGAGGCCAGAGGCAGCUUCUUCAUCUCCCUCAACACCAGGCCACGUGAAGGAGAAGCGUGGCUCUGAGACACCCGCCCGCCUCCCUUUGGGCCUGUCAGGGCAAAGCGACCACUCCCUGAUUCUGGGCCGGCCUGCAGCACCUGGCCACCUCUCCUCGCCGAAGGCUGUGACCCUGCGUCCUCCUCCUCAUCCACAGCUCCCAGUCUGUCCACGAGGAUUUACGAUUUCUUGUGUGUGGCUCGAGUUUCUUGACUUCAAGUUCCUGGAGGGUGAGACGCAGGGCUCCUACUUCAUUGGGUCCCCACCCCCACCCCUCAGCGCCACCCCUUGUACAGAGACAGGGACUGUCACUUCCAAACCAGAAACCCAUGGAAAAGAUCCAACAAGCCUAAGGGUCCCCAAAGGGAUAAAGGGGUGGAAUAUUUGAAGGCGGGGCUGCCAGGAACAGAGCGAGCAUGUCAGAACCACGGGCUGAGCUCAACAUCCCAGGGUAUGAAGGGAAGCCUCUGUCUCCCCUGCCCUCUGCACCCAAGCCCACCACAGAGUCUGACACCUGCUCUGCUUCCUAUAGCAGAGGGCCAAACAAAUCAGAGAAGCCCCCAGUCCAAGAGAAGAGAUGAAACUCUUCACUAAAUUCAGGGCCGACUGAUCAGAGGAUGUUGCAGAAAGGAAGCCAGGGUGUUUUGAGGGAGUGGCCCUAACUUUGGGGUUGCCCUCAGGGCUCCAAGUCCCAAACCAGAGGCGUCUCUGUUAGAAGAUGGAUCUUUGGAGUUCCCGUCGUGGCUCAGCAGUAAUGAACCUGACUAGUAUUCAUAAGGACUUGAGUUCAAUCCCUGGCCUCACUCAGUGGGUUAAGGAUCCAGUGUUGCCACGAGCUGUGGUGUAGGUCUAGAGCAAGGCCCGAGAAUUUGCAUUUCUAGGAAGUUCCCAGGUGAGGCUUGUGCUGCUGGUUCCUGGGACUAUCCUUCAAGAACCACUAGUCCAGCCACUCAUUUAGUCCUGGGGUGAAAAUGUCAGUGGGGACGACAGCUACCUACUGCCAAUGGAUGUGUUUCGUUUCCCCUUUUUCUUUGGCCACACUUACAGCAGGCAGAAGUUCCAGGACUAGGGAUCAAACCUGAGCCACAGCAGUAUCGACACCAGGUCCUUAACCUGCUGAGCCACCAGGGAACUCCCUGUUUCCCCUUUUCUCUGAAUACAGCGGCUAAGGACUACCAACCCAAAGGAAGGUGGGAGGGGUGGGGCUGCAGGCUCGGAAGCAGGCACUGGGCUUGAUGCCCCACAGAGACCUCCCUCAAGGUCACACUCUGCUUAGCCCAGAAGCUGGUGCACAGCGAGAAGCCAAAAUAUUCUAC
rnacentral:lncRNA from 1 species